rnacentral:rRNA from 1 species
GACGAACGCUGGCGGUGUGCUUAACACAUGCAAGUCGAACGGUAAGGCUCCAGCUUGCUGGGGUACACGAGUGGCGAACGGGUGAGUAACACGUGGGUGACCUGCCCUGCACUUCGGGAUAAGCCUGGGAAACUGGGUCUAAUACCGGAUAGGACCGCACCGUGAGGGUGUGGUGGAAAGUUUUUUCGGUGUGGGAUGGGCCCGCGGCCUAUCAGCUUGUUGGUGGGGUAAUGGCCUACCAAGGCGGCGACGGGUAGCCGGCCUGAGAGGGUGGACGGCCACAUUGGGACUGAGACACGGCCCAGACUCCUACGGGAGGCAGCAGUGGGGAAUAUUGCACAAUGGGCGGAAGCCUGAUGCAGCGACGCCGCGUGGGGGAUGACGGCCUUCGGGUUGUAAACUCCUUUCACCAUCGACGAAGGGUUUCUGACGGUAGAUGGAGAAGAAGCACCGGCUAACUACGUG